rnacentral:rRNA from 1 species
UACGGAGGGGGCUAGCGUUGUUCGGAAUUACUGGGCGUAAAGCGCGCGUAGGCGGCUUUGUAAGUUAGAGGUGAAAGCCCGGAGCUCAACUCCGGAAUUGCCUUUAAGACUGCAUCGCUAGAAUCAUGGAGAGGUGAGUGGAAUUCCGAGUGUAGAGGUGAAAUUCGUAGAUAUUCGGAAGAACACCAGUGGCGAAGGCGACUCACUGGACAUGUAUUGACGCUGAGGUGCGAAAGCGUGGGGAGCGAACAGG